GACGAACGCUGGCGGCGUGCUUAACACAUGCAAGUCGAACGGUGAACCAGAGCUUGCUCUGGGGAUCAGUGGCGAACGGGUGAGUAACACGUGGGCAACCUGCCCCAGACUCUGGGAUAACCUCGGGAAACCGAUGCUAAUACCGGAUACGACCACUUCGGACAUCCGACGGUGGUGGAAAGUUUUUCGGUCUGGGAUGGGCCCGCGGCCUAUCAGCUAGUUGGUGGGGUAAUGGCCUACCAAGGCGACGACGGGUAGUCGGCCUGAGAGGGCGACCGGCCACACUGGAACUGAGACACGGUCCAGACUCCUACGGGAGGCAGCAGUGGGGAAUAUUGCACAAUGGGCGAAAGCCUGAUGCAGCGACGCCGCGUGAGGGACGACGGCCUUCGGGUUGUAACCGUACUUUCUAGCAGGACGAAGCGAAAGUGACUGUACCUGCAGAAGAAGCACCGGCUAACUACGUGCAGCAGCCGCGG
rnacentral:rRNA from 1 species